GACGUAGGGCGCGAGCGUUGUCCGGAUUUAUUGGGCGUAAAGAGCUCGUAGGCGGCUUGUCGCGUCGUCCGUGAAAACCUGCGGCUCAACUGCAGGCUGGCGGUCGAUACGGGCAGGCUGGAGUUCGGUAGGGGAGAGUGGAACUCCUGGUGUAGCGGUGGAAUGCGCAGAUAUCAGGAAGAACACCCGUGGCGAAGGCGGUUCUCUGGAACGCAACUGACGCUGAGACGCGAAAGCUAGGGAGCAAACGGG
rnacentral:rRNA from 1 species